rnacentral:rRNA from 1 species
UGAAACUGAUCUCUCCGUGAAGAAGCGGGGAUACUCCUAUAAGACGAAAAGACCCCAUGGAGCUUCAAACCCAACUACACCCUUAACUACCACAACCACACAACCUCUUAGGGCCCUGUAUAGUUGGUUUUAGGUUGGGGCGACCACGGAGUACAACCAAACCUCCGCAAUGAACGGGACCACUCCCUUAUCUAAGAGCCACACCUCUAAGAAUUAAAACACUAACAUAAAAUGAUCCAUGAUCUGAUCAAUGAACCAAGUUACCCUGGGGAUAACAGCGCAAUCCAUUUCAAGAGCCCCUAUCGACAAGUGGGUUUACGACCUCGAUGUUGGAUCAGGGUAUCCUAGUGGUGCAGCAGCUACUAAUGGUUCGUUUGUUCAACGAUUAAAACCCU